rnacentral:rRNA from 1 species
ACCCGCUGAAUUUAAGCAUAUCAAUAAGCGGAGGAAAAGAAACCAACAGGGAUUGCCUUAGUAACGGCGAGUGAAGCGGCAAAAGCUCAAAUUUGAAAUCUGGCACCUUCGGUGUCCGAGUUGUAAUUUGAAGAAGGUAACUUUGGAGUUGGCUCUUGUCUAUGUUCCUUGGAACAGGACGUCACAGAGGGUGAGAAUCCCGUGCGAUGAGAUGCCCAAUUCUAUGUAAAGUGCUUUCGAAGAGUCGAGUUGUUUGGGAAUGCAGCUCUAAGUGGGUGGUAAAUUCCAUCUAAAGCUAAAUAUUGGCGAGAGACCGAUAGCGAACAAGUACAGUGAUGGAAAGAUGAAAAGAACUUUGAAAAGAGAGUGAAAAAGUACGUGAAAUUGUUGAAAGGGAAGGGCUUGAGAUCAGACUUGGUAUUUUGCGAUCCUUUCCUUCUUGGUUGGGUUCCUCGCAGCUUACUGGGCCAGCAUCGGUUUGGAUGGUAGGAUAAUGACUAAGGAAUGUGGCUCUACUUCGGUGGAGUGUUAUAGCCUUGGUUGAUACUGCCUGUCUAGACCGAGGACUGCGCCUUUUGACUAGGAUGUUGGCAUAAUGAUCUUAAGCCACCCGUCUUGAAACACGGACCAAGGAG